UACGAAGGGGGCUAGCGUUGUUCGGAAUUACUGGGCGUAAAGCGCACGUAGGCGGAUAUUUAAGUCAGGGGUGAAAUCCCGGGGCUCGACCCCGGAACUGCCUUUGAUACUGGGUAUCUCGAGUCCGAGAGAGGUGAGUGGAAUUCCGAGUGUAGAGGUGAAAUUCGUAGAUAUUCGGAGGAACACCAGUGGCGAAGGCGGCUCACUGGCUCGGUACUGACGCUGAGGUGCGAAAGCGUGGGGAGCAAACAGG
rnacentral:rRNA from 1 species